rnacentral:rRNA from 1 species
UACGUAGGUGGCAAGCGUUGUCCGGAUUUAUUGGGCGUAAAGCGCGCGCAGGCGGUCCUUUAAGUCUGAUGUGAAAGCCCACGGCUCAACCGUGGAGGGUCAUUGGAAACUGGGGGACUUGAGUGCAGGAGAGAAGAGUGGAAUUCCACGUGUAGCGGUGAAAUGCGUAGAGAUGUGGAGGAACACCAGUGGCGAAGGCGGGUCUCUGGGCCGUAACUGACGCUGGAGGAGCGAAGCGUGGGGAGCAAACAGG